UACGAAGGGAGCUAGCGUUGUUCGGAAUCACUGGGCGUAAAGCGCACGUAGGCGGAUUUGUCAGUCAGGGGUGAAAUCCCGGGGCUCAACCUCGGAACUGCCUUUGAUACAGCAAGUCUUGAGUUCGAGAGAGGUGGGUGGAAUUCCUAGUGUAGAGGUGAAAUUCGUAGAUAUUAGGAAGAACACCGGUGGCGAAGGCGGCCCACUGGCUCGAUACUGACGCUGAGGUGCAAAAGCGUGGGGAGCAAACAGG
rnacentral:rRNA from 1 species